UGGGGAAUCUUGGACAAUGGGGGAAACCCUGAUCCAGCCAUGCCGCGUGAGUGAUGAAGGCCUUAGGGUUGUAAAACUCUUUCGGCGGGGACGAUAAUGACGGUACCCGCAGAAGAAGCUCCGGCUAACUUCGUGCCAGCAGCCGCGGUAAUACGAAGGGGGCUAGCGUUGUUCGGAAUUACUGGGCGUAAAGCGCGCGCAGGCGGUCCUUUAAGUCAGGGGUGAAAGCCCAGAGCUCAACUCUGGAACUGCCCUUGAAACUAGAGGACUUGGGUACGGGAGAGGUGAGUGGAAUUCCGAGUGUAGAGGUGAAAUUCGUAGAUAUUCGGAAGAACACCAGUGGCGAAGGCGGCUCACUGGCCCGUUACCGACGCUCAGGCGCGACAGCGUGGGGAGCAAACAGG
rnacentral:rRNA from 1 species